CAACGACUCUCGGCAACGGAUAUCUCGGCUCUCGCAUCGAUGAAGAACGUAGCGAAAUGCGAUACUUGGUGUGAAUUGCAGAAUCCCGUGAACCAUCGAGUCUUUGAACGCAAGUUGCGCCCGAAGCCAUCUGGCCGAGGGCACGUCUGCCUGGGUGUCACGCA
rnacentral:rRNA from 1 species